rnacentral:rRNA from 1 species
GGGUUGUGAGGUUAAGCGACUAAGCGUACACGGUGGAUGCCCUGGCAGUCAGAGGCGAUGAAGGGCGUGCUAAUCUGCGAUAAGCGCCGGUAAGGUGAUAUGAACCGUUAUAACCGGCGAUACCCGAAUGGGGAAACCCAGUGUGAUUCGUCACACUAUCAUUACGUGAAUACAUAGCGUAAUGAAGCGAACCGGGGGAACUGAAACAUCUAAGUACCCCGAGGAAAAGAAAUCAACCGAGAUUCCCCCAGUAGCGGCGAGCGAACGGGGAGGAGCCCAGAGCCUGAAUCAGCAUGUGUGUUAGUGGAAGCGUCUGGAAAGGCGCGCGAUACAGGGUGACAGCCCCGUACACAAAAGCGCAUGUGUUGUGAGCUCGAUGAGUAGGGCGGGACACGUGGUAUCCUGUCUGAAUAUGGGGGGACCAUCCUCCAAGGCUAAAUACUCCUGACUGACCGAUAGUGAACCAGUACCGUGAGGGAAAGGCGAAAAGAACCCCGGCGAGGGGAGUGAAAAAGAACCUGAAACCGUGUACGUACAAGCAGUGGGAGCACCCUUUGGGGUGUGACUGCGUACCUUUUGUAUAAUGGGUCAGCGACUUAUAUUCUGUAGCAAGGUUAACCGAAUAGGGGAGCCGGAGGGAAACCGAGUCUUAAUUGGGCGUUAAGUUGCAGGGUAUAGACCCGAAACCCGGUGAUCUAGCCAUGGGCAGGUUGAAGGUUGGGUAACACUAACUGGAGGACCGAACCGACUAAUGUUGAAAAAUUAGCGGAUGACCUGUGGCUGGGGGUGAAAGGCCAAUCAAACCGGGAGAUAGCUGGUUCUCCCCGAAAGCUAUUUAGGU